UACGGAGGGGGCUAGCGUUGUUCGGAAUUACUGGGCGUAAAGGGCGCGUAGGCGGUCGAUCAAGUCAGGCGUGAAAGGCCUGGGCUCAACCCGGGAACUGCGCUUGAUACUGGCUGACUUGAGUCCGGGAGAGGAUGGCGGAAUUCCCAGUGUAGAGGUGAAAUUCGUAGAUAUUGGGAAGAACACCGGUGGCGAAGGCGGCCAUCUGGACCGGCACUGACGCUGAGGCGCGAAAGCGUGGGGAGCAAACAGG
rnacentral:rRNA from 1 species